CUCUGCGUCCCUGGCUCCCGAAGGGCCGCGUGUCUGAAGGUGUCGAAGGGAGGGCCGGGUUGGAGGGGAACACGGGGUUGGAGGGUUAGAUGGAUUCCCCGCGAGGUGCCCGGAUAUGGCGAAGCUCAGCUGUGUUUGCUGCAGUUUCUUCAGCAUCCAGAAGAGUCCCAGGCACAUGACUGACACUCCCAUCAACACACACAAUGCAAUAACCACAUGAUAACCAUCAACCAAUCAACCGUGUGAAGGCAAAUGAAAUAUUGCCCAGGUCAUUGUGCUGUCA